ensembl:lncRNA
AAAAAUUCCUUCUUAAUUUCUUGCUGUGCUAUAUUAUCAAAUAUUGAAUUCAUUUUUAUCAACUUGUUUUCUUUCAGUUAGCGUAGGUUUUGUAUUUAUUUUUGGAACUAUUUAUGGAUCGUUGGCCUUGCUGGUCUGAACUUAUACACCUCAGUUUUUGAGUGCACAUUGCCAAAAUUAUCCACAAAUAAUGCUUUUAACUCAAGCUCAGAUCAAUCCAAAGAAAUACAAAACCUGUGCUAAUUAAAAGAAAACAAGUUGAUGAAAAGAUUUAAUCCAAUAUUUGGUAACAAUACAGCAUGAUGGAAGGUUUAAAAGCAAUAUUUAAAAACACCAAAAUAAAGGAUUUUUUUUUUUCUCAGCAAAAGGGUUAAUUAUGCAACAAGACUGUUAAAAUUAGUUUUGCAAACGUGUCAUUUUGACUUUAAUUAAUUUUAAAUUUGUUAACUUUUGAUUGACUCUAUUUGAUUGCAUAGUUUAGAGAACAAGAGUGCUAAAAUCUCACUCAUAUGGGCAUUAACAAAGCCUGUUGUGGUCAGGAAGUCUCCUGUCAGCAGAAAUUGGUGCUGUGAGUUUCCCAUGUUCUCCGCUUUGGCUAGUGAAGGUUUUUGGAUCUGAAUGGAGCAGAGCACAAGAGAAUCAGACUAUGGUCACAGUGGAGAUCACACCUGCUUCCACCAAGGGCAGUAAAGUUCAAGAGGUUCAUUAAGUGGAGAGCACAGCAAGAACAAAAUGAACAACAAAAUCAUGGGAAACGAAAUGCCAGCUUAACAGCGAUUUUUGCCUUCAUAAGCCCUCCCUCAGGGCCCAUUACAUUCAAAGGACUACAACAAAAGCACUGACAGCAUCCUUUAGCGAGAGAGGGUGGCUGGACACAGAGGGGACAAAAGCCCUUUAGCGACCCCCUCGCAUCCACACGCAUGCUUGACAUUGUGGGAGGCGUGAACCAUGAGGCCAGAGGUCAGUAUGGGUCAAGUGGGGUGAAGCCAUCAUAGAGUCUUAAUUGAGUUGGUGCUGUUGAAUGAGGACGUGACAGUGGAGGGCUCUAUCUAGCUCAGCUGAUGGAGUGGGUCACUAUUAAAGCUUACGUGAAGUGUGUCUGGAUGUAGACAUUAUCAUGACAGUUCUUGACAUGCACAUGAAAAAUUGUAGCUUACAUUAAAGAUUUGUACACAUUACAGUUGUUUUCAGUGGACUCCAAAUUUUAAUGAUCAUUGACUUGUUCUUAGAUUUUACUCAUUAAAGUACCUUUUACAGACUCAAAAAUGAGAAAUAUCCAUUUAUCAAAUUAAUGAAACUAGGGAUGGA